GAUGAACGCUGGCGGCGUGCCUAAUACAUGCAAGUCGAGCGAACGGACGAGAAGCUUGCUUCUCUGAUGUUAGCGGCGGACGGGUGAGUAACACGUGGAUAACCCACCUAUAAGACUGGGAUAACUUCGGGAAACCGGAGCUAAUACCGGAUAAUAUUUUGAACCGCAUGGUUCAAAAGUGAAAGACGGUCUUGCUGUCACUUAUAGAUGGAUCCGCGCUGCAUUAGCUAGUUGGUAAGGUAACGGCUUACCAAGGCAACGAUGCAUAGCCGACCUGAGAGGGUGAUCGGCCACACUGGAACUGAGACACGGUCCAGACUCCUACGGGAGGCAGCAGUGGGGAAUCUUCCGCAAUGGGCGAAAGCCUGACGGAGCAACGCCGCGUGAGUGAUGAAGGUCUUCGGAUCGUAAAACUCUGUUAUUAGGGAAGAACAUAUGUGUAAGUAACUGUGCACAUCUUGACGGUACCUAAUCAGAAAGCCACGGCUAACUACGUG
rnacentral:rRNA from 1 species